CUGCCAGUACAAUAAAAUCUGCUUAACUUGUAAGUGUUCUGCAGAAAUGGAAAAAAAAUGCUGGCAAUAAUAAAGCCAGGGUACGAGCCUUGAAGACUUGGUAGUCAUUGAGGUCCCAUAAACGGCUACAUUG